rnacentral:rRNA from 1 species
UUUAUGGAGAGUUUGAUCCUGGCUCAGGAUGAACGCUGGCGGCGUGCCUAAUACAUGCAAGUCGAGCGAACAGACAAGGAGCUUGCUCCUUUGACGUUAGCGGCGGACGGGUGAGUAACACGUGGGUAACCUACCUAUAAGACUGGGAUAACUUCGGGAAACCGGAGCUAAUACCGGAUAAUAUUUCGAACCGCAUGGUUCGAUAGUGAAAGAUGGUUUUGCUAUCACUUAUAGAUGGACCCGCGCCGUAUUAGCUAGUUGGUAAGGUAACGGCUUACCAAGGCGACGAUACGUAGCCGACCUGAGAGGGUGAUCGGCCACACUGGAACUGAGACACGGUCCAGACUCCUACGGGAGGCAGCAGUAGGGAAUCUUCCGCAAUGGGCGAAAGCCUGACGGAGCAACGCCGCGUGAGUGAUGAAGGUCUUCGGAUCGUAAAACUCUGUUAUUAGGGAAGAACAUACGUGUAAGUAACUAUGCACGUCUUGACGGUACCUAAUCAGAAAGCCACGGCUAACUACGUGCCAGCAGCCGCGGUAAUACGUAGGUGGCAAGCGUUAUCCGGAAUUAUUGGGCGUAAAGCGCGCGUAGGCGGUUUUUUAAGUCUGAUGUGAAAGCCCACGGCUCAACCGUGGAGGGUCAUUGGAAACUGGAAAACUUGAGUGCAGAAGAGGAAAGUGGAAUUCCAUGUGUAGCGGUGAAAUGCGCAGAGAUAUGGAGGUAACACCAGUGGCGAAGGCGACUUUCUGGUCUGUAACUGACGCUGAUGUGCGAAAGCGUGGGGAUCAAACAGGAUUAGAUACCCUGGUAGUCCACGCCGUAAACGAUGAGUGCUAAGUGUUAGGGGGUUUCCGCCCCUUAGUGCUGCAGCUAACGCAUUAAGCACUCCGCCUGGGGAGUACGACCGCAAGGUUGAAACUCAAAGGAAUUGACGGGGACCCGCACAAGCGGUGGAGCAUGUGGUUUAAUUCGAAGCAACGCGAAGAACCUUACCAAAUCUUGACAUCCUUUGACAACUCUAGAGAUAGAGCCUUCCCCUUCGGGGGACAAAGUGACAGGUGGUGCAUGGUUGUCGUCAGCUCGUGUCGUGAGAUGUUGGGUUAAGUCCCGCAACGAGCGCAACCCUUAAGCUUAGUUGCCAUCAUUAAGUUGGGCACUCUAAGUUGACUGCCGGUGACAAACCGGAGGAAGGUGGGGAUGACGUCAAAUCAUCAUGCCCCUUAUGAUUUGGGCUACACACGUGCUACAAUGGACAAUACAAAGGGCAGCGAAACCGCGAGGUCAAGCAAAUCCCAUAAAGUUGUUCUCAGUUCGGAUUGUAGUCUGCAACUCGACUACAUGAAGCUGGAAUCGCUAGUAAUCGUAGAUCAGCAUGCUACGGUGAAUACGUUCCCGGGUCUUGUACACACCGCCCGUCACACCACGAGAGUUUGUAACACCCGAAGCCGGUGGAGUAACCAUUUGGAGCUAGCCGUCGAAGGUGGGACAAAUGAUUGGGGUGAAGUCGUAACAAGGUAGCCGUAUCGGAAGGUGCGGCUGGAUCACCUCCUUU